rnacentral:rRNA from 1 species
UACAGAGGUCCCAAGCGUUAAUCGGAAUUACUGGGCGUAAAGCGCGCGUAGGUGGUUCGUUAAGUUGGAUGUGAAAUCCCCGGGCUCAACCUGGGAACUGCAUCCAAAACUGGCGAGCUAGAGUAUGGUAGAGGGUGGUGGAAUUUCCUGUGUAGCGGUGAAAUGCGUAGAUAUAGGAAGGAACACCAGUGGCGAAGGCGACCACCUGGACUGAUACUGACACUGAGGUGCGAAAGCGUGGGGAGCAAACAGG